UACGUAGGGGGCAAGCGUUGUCCGGAAUUAUUGGGCGUAAAGAGCGUGUAGGCGGUCCGGUAAGUCGGCUGUGAAAGUCCAGGGCUCAACCCUGGGAUGCCGGUCGAUACUGCCGGACUAGAGUUCGGAAGAGGCGAGUGGAAUUCCCGGUGUAGCGGUGAAAUGCGCAGAUAUCGGGAGGAACACCUAUGGCGAAGGCAGCUCGCUGGGACGUUACUGACGCUGAGACGCGAAAGCGUGGG
rnacentral:rRNA from 1 species